UACGGAGGGUGCGAGCGUUGUCCGGAAUCACUGGGCGUAAAGGGCGCGUAGGUGGCCUGUGGAAGUCUGCGGUGAAAGCCCGGCGCUCAACGCCGGGUCGGCCGUGGAUACUCUCGGGCUCGAGCUUACUAGAGGCAGAUGGAAUUCCGGGUGUAGCGGUGGAAUGCGUAGAGAUCCGGAAGAACACCGGUGGCGAAGGCGGUCUGCUGGGGUAAUGCUGACACUGAUGCGCGACAGCG
rnacentral:rRNA from 1 species